AUUGAACGCUGGCGGCAGGCCUUACACAUGCAAGUCGCACGAGUGGCGGACGGGUGAGUAAUGUCUGGGAAACUGCCUGAUGGAGGGGGAUAACUACUGGAAACGGUAGCUAAUACCGCAUACCAUCGGAUGUGCCCAGAUGGGAUUAGCUAGUUGGUGGGGUAACGGCUCACCAAGGCGACGAUCCCUAGCUGGUCUGAGAGGAUGACCAGCCACACUUUGACUGAGACACGGUCCAGACUCCUACGGGAGGCAGCAGUGGGGAAUAUUGCACAAUGGGCGCAAGCCUGAUGCAGCCAUGCCGCGUGUAUGAUGAAGGCCUUCGGGUUGUAAAGUACUUUCAGCUGGGAAGCGUUAUCCGCAGAAUAAGCACCGGCUAACUCCGUGCCAGCAGCCGCGGUAAUAC
rnacentral:rRNA from 1 species